rnacentral:rRNA from 1 species
CCUACGGGGGGCUGCAGUGGGGAAUAUUGGACAAUGGGCGAAAGCCUGAUCCAGCCAUGCCGCGUGUGUGAAGAAGGCCUUCGGGUUGUAAAGCACUUUCAGUGGGGAAGAAAGCCUUGGGGCUAAUACCCUCGAGGAAGGACAUCACCCACAGAAGAAGCACCGGCUAACUCCGUGCCAGCAGCCGCGGUAAUACGGAGGGUGCGAACGUUAAUCGGAAUUACUGGGCGUAAAGCGCGCGUAGGCGGUCUGAUAAGCCGGUUGUGAAAGCCCCGGGCUCAACCUGGGAACGGCAUCCGGAACUGUCAGGCUAGAGUGCAGGAGAGGAAGGUAGAAUUCCCGGUGUAGCGGUGAAAUGCGUAGAGAUCGGGAGGAAUACCAGUGGCGAAGGCGGCCUUCUGGACUGACACUGACGCUGAGGUGCGAAAGCGUGGGUAGCAAACAGGAUUAGAUACCCGGGUAGUC